rnacentral:lncRNA from 1 species
AAGUGUAUAUCAGAUGUUUGGCGGCCAUAGCUCGUGCUUACCGCCCACGGAGCGUGUUAGGGCAAGGCCACUUAGUCAGGAGUCACGACUUGGGAGUUUGCAAAAUGUACAGGUUAGUCAUACAUCUAUGGCGGUUAUCCCAGACACUAAGCAAACAACUAUAAGCUGACAAUCAUGGAAUAGCUGUUAUUUGAUAAGCUAGUUGUCCUUUGGUUCGACAUUUGGAUUAGAUGUGAUUGAUUAUCCCAAGAAUUAUGGAAAGGGUAUUUAUUUAUUUACUUGUUUUGGUUAGAGGGAAACUUCAAAUCUUAACGGAAGAGGGGAAAGAGGAUGGAAAAGGAGAAGGUUAGAGAGAUACGCUGACCACUGACCACUGAAGUUUCUUGAAUUAGGUUUUGGAAAUGUGGAAAGGAUACUUCGUGGUUGUGCAAAAUAGUUAGACGGGGGCUUAAUUAUUUUUUGAAUGAAAAAACAGUGGGUGAACUUAAAUUAUGAAGGUAUCUAAAGCAGGAAGCAGCUCACGUACAUAUAUAUUAAAGAAUUAAUCUUGACUAUAGAGACCAUUAUAUUUUAUACACUAGUGAUUUUGGGUGAAUAACUUAUCACUCACUUUGAAUUUGACCUCUAAAUUUUAUGCAUGUGUAGCAUGUAUUCAGACCUGUUAGUGUCUGCUUGCUGAAAAAAAGUCAGUUCUACAUGAUUUGUUGGAUCCAUAGAAAGUCCACUAUAUUACACGAAGAACAAGUUUUCAUUCAACCCCUAUUAGAAAAAACUACACAAAUUUUUCUUUAAAACUCAAUAAUAUCUUUUCAUCGAUUAUUUCCUAGAUAUGUACACAAGUUAAGAGCAUUCCUCUUAUGAAAUACACCCAAAACGGAAACUAAGACUUGUAAAUUCUAUCAAGCAACGGUCAAAACUAGGUUUUAAAUCUAAAAAUAGGGAAACAAAUAAUUUUCUCCAAGCUCUGUAUGGAUAUUCAUUCUUUUUUUAAAAAAAAAAAUAUUUUUGUAAUAUAGUAACAACUCUAACAAUAAUUCCUAAAAUAAUUCUAAAAAUACCAUUUCAAAUACACUUUACAAAAACAAAAAAUAUUAAAAAAAAUUCCCCCACCUUUUCUACUUCCACCUACCACCAUCCCUCCUCUCCUUAUUCCUCCAUUGUCAUUAUUGGCCCUCUCCCAUCCUUCACCGCUAUCAUUGCGCCUUCCCUUCCUUCUUCUUCCUUCUUCCUCUUCUUCUCUUCCUUUCCUUUCUCCUCCUCUCUCUCCCUCUCUCCUCUUCUCCCCAGCCACUCCCCUCCCUCUGAGGAUGCGACUUUCUUAUCUCAGCCAGAAGCCACGACUCCCUUUCCUUUCAACUUCUUCUUCAUUCUCUCCUCUCCUUCAUUCUCCUUUUCUCCCUUGCCACCCUCCUUUUCUCCCCUGCCACCAUCCUUCCCUUUGAUGCAAUCUCUAGCCAUGACUUUCUUAUUGUAGCCAAAAGCUGUGAUUAAGGAUGAAGGGGGUGACGAAGUGUGGGAGGAGAGACGAGGAGGAAGUAGGGGAAGGAGUGGUAGAGGAGGAGGAAGGAGGGGAGAGGAGGAGGAAGGAGGGGAGAGGAGGAGUGAGGGGGUGGAGGGUGGUAUUAGUUCCAAUUUUCAAAAGAUAUCCCAAAAAAAAUUUAAAUUCUAAAAAAAUCCCAAAAUACAUUCUCAAAAACACCCCUAAAAAAACCUAAUCCAUAUUCCAUACUGAGCCAAAGUUAUAUCACUUUGUCAUAUUUGAACAUUCAAUUGCAUCAAUGUCAAAAUUUUGGUACUUAAAUUUCUUUAAUCAAAAUCAAUUAGCAAAUAAGUUUCAGUCCCUUUUUCAUUUGUAAUAUGAACUACACAUGCCAAUAGUGAAAAGACCAAAAAUAACCGUUUGUAACAGAGUUCUACCAAUAGUUCUUCAUUAUGUCUCACCAAAAAAAAAAAAAAAGAAGUCUAAUUAAGAGUUGUGUCCAUAGAAAUAUGUUACCUAUAAUGGUGAUUUUGAAAACAAAAUCAGGCUUCAAAUAUUUGGGGUUAUUUAGGCUUUUUAUCAAUGGCAUGUGCAUUUCAUGUUAUGUUAGCAAACUCAAGAGAAGUUGAAACUUAUAUACUAAUUAUAUUCAGUUGAAAAAAUUAUGUACUACAGAUGUAUGUGCCAAAAGGAGGAAAUCUAUUCUAGGGGUUACAUUGAUGUUUGAAUAUGUUUGGGUUUUUAUGGUAAAAUUUUUUAUUAAAUUUUCAAAUUUGCAGUUUUUGUUGUUGUUCUUAGAUUUGUUGUACCUAUUUAUGUGUAAUGUAACUUCCACCAUUAGUACAGAUGUCAUUAAUGAAAUUAUGAUGUAUUUUGUCAAAAGGGUGAUCUAUCUAGAUCAAUUGAGAUAACACAAAGGGGGGAGAUCUAUUCAAUUGAACAUCCAGCAGCAAAUUACUUUGCAGCCAUAUUUUUAAGGUUUAACAAGAUAUUUAAGAAUUAACCCGGUAAACAAUUAUAGCUAGUUUGGGAGUUUGGGACACAAAAGAAAAGAAGAGAGUUUAGGUUAGAAAAGAAAAGAAAAUAGAAGAAGAGAUUGUGAUAUCUCUUCAUGUUGUUUGGGAGUUUUUGGAGAGAAAGAUAAUGAAGCAAUUUUCCUUUAUUUGAAAAUAAAGAGAAGUAAAAGAAAAGAUUUUAUUUUUCAUAAGUACCCUUGAAACUUGAAAUUCACAUGACAUAAGAAAACGUUAUUUUAUAAUCUUUAUAAGGGCAAAAUUGAUAUAUUAAAAUAUUUACUUAACUCACUUUCCUUUCUCGCACUUUCCGCCUAAUUUUGGGCUGACGGUUUUCUCGUAGCUCGAAAGAGGUGUGGAAUCCCUUCUUUUCUUUCCAUUUCUUUCCCAUUAGAACUCCCAAAUGCUCUUUCCAAUUAAAACUCCCAAAUGCGAGAAAGAUUUCACUUUCUUUCUUAAUCUUUUCUUUUCUCACCAAAUACGUCCUCCCAAACGGGUUAUUAGUCUCAUUCAUUAAGAACGUUAAGGGGAAUCCCAGUUCCACAUACAGCAGCAGAGUUUCUUUUUCUCUUCCAGUUCUCAUCGGACCAGAUACAAUCCCUCUUAAAUCUCUAAGGAUCAGCCGAACAAUCAUCUCAGGAGAGUAGAGAUUCUUGAUAAGAAUCUGCUUGCUCCUGGUGCACCACGAGUGGUGUACAGUUGCUGCAUAUGCAUUUGUUCUCUCAUGACUAAUAAAACGGUCCUGAGAACAAUGCUUGAUUGUCGACAGGGGCCUUAUUUCCCAAUCAAUAGGCUUUCUAUACACAGGGAAUUUGCUCUGUACAGUUAAACUAUUUAUAAUUCACUAAAAUGGUAAUCAUGCUUACUAGCAACAGGACCAUUAUGUUCUAGAUCCUAGCUAAGAUAUAAGGAAAAUAGUGUUAGGAUGUUAUAUGAUUAACAGUUAAUUUGUACCAGAUGUUAUGCUUUUGAUAUCUACAGGGUAUAGUUCAAUGGCCGAUACGUGCGACUUGUUGCAUCCUCUAGUCAAGUCAAAAGUACGCACAGUUAUUUUGCUUUAAAAAUCUUCGCUCAAGUCUGAACAAAGAUUACCUGCAGCUGUUCAGCUCCUCUAGGACUGUUUUUGGCACUCCUCAUUCUGAAUAAAUUUUCUGUAGCUAAUUUAACCAAACUCCUGUUUUUAAAUUAGUGUUUUGUGGUACCUUAAAAUAGGAAUAAAUAUCAACUGUAACUGUAUGCUGCUCAGCUCUUCAUCCUGCUAAUCUAAGAUCAGCCCUCUGUGAAGGAAUGUGCUUCAAAAGCAAACAGAGAUGCCCUACUUUAAUUGCAGGAGGCGGAACUGAGAACGGUGAGUAUUAGCCAGUCAUCUUCUUAUCUUUGGUGUUUGCAAUCUGAGCGCUUCUCUUUUCUUUUUCUUUUUUUUUUAAAUCAGACUUGUCUAGUUGUAAGUAGGUUGCAGAAAACAAUUUUAACCACAAAGUUAUAAAUUGAACCCUAUCUUCAAGGAAGAUGCUCUCUGCUUUCAUUCGACAUUCGUGUCGUAACUUGUAAGAUCACUAUGAAUCAUUGUUCUCAAAAUUAGUUAAAUGUUACUCGUAGUGGCUUAAAGUGCGAAAUUAUGGCAGGACUAAUUAAAUAAAGGUGGUAAAUGUAAUUGAAACUCAGAAAAAAAGUUUAGGUUGCAAUUUUUCUAGCUGUUAAUUUGAAUACUAAACAAUCAAAUGUGGAAGUUUACUGUUUUAGAGGCUUAAUGUGAUAUUCGUCCAUGUUGUCAUAGGCUUACCUGUUAAUUGCCAGUUUACUGAAUCGUUUAUGUUCUUUUUUGUUUUUGCCCUUGUACAUUGCCCUCUUUGAUACUGUUCUGGGGCUCUGGAUCUUGUGAUUUUCGGGUGACUGGCUGUUUAGAAUCCUUUCUUGUUAUUUUUGUUGACAUUUCUACUUGAAAUUGGAGCAGGUUUAGAACUUUCGAUUUUUAAGAUAAAAAGGGUGAUCCUGAUCUGAAUCCUAAGCAAUAAAUCUCUCGAUUACACAAUUUCGUGCAGCCAAUUUAAGAUCAAUUGAAAAGCAUUCUUGGAAAUUGCUGCUACAAGACUACUUUCUUGUUGUUGUUGUUUAGACCAAUGUAGCUAGUUCUGUACCUGGAAAAUCAACUGACAUAUAGCUAAAUUUCGACCAUCUUAUUGUUGGGAUUUUGAAAGCAAGACUUACAGCUCCCAGUCAAUAUAUUGUCCUUCGCCAUUAUAUAGAAAUUUCUUUGGCAAAUGUCUCCCUACUGAGACCUGAUUGAAUGGGGAAACCUUAUGGGUACUAUGAGUGCUAAAAGGUUAACAACUGGUUCCUGGGAUGCCAAGACGCCACAUUUUCUGCUAGUAUAUCAUGAGGAAGUGUGUCCUGAGUAAUUGAGAUAGUCAUUUGUAGGGGUAAUGCACCUUGACAACCUAGAAUAAUUAGCUUGUCAUCCAGAGUUGUCCCAGGGACUGGGCCGUCACAUGCGAAUAAUUAGGAGAAGUCCCUUGACCCAUUUGAGAUUAGUUCAAUUUUCUUGGAUUGACCCCUUAAAUGUCUAAUUGUCAUCAAUAGAAUAGACUGCAAUGUUGUUAAACUCAGACUGAAUAGCGACUCAAUUAAACUACUCGGUCAAGGAUCAACUGCUUGGAUCGGUCAGACUGUUUUCAAAAACCCGCUAACGCUAGCAUGAUGUUAUAAUUUUUUUAUAUUUUUAUAAGAUUCAGAAAUAUUGAAAUUAAGUUCUUGGUUAUAUUUGACUAAUCAUGAAAAAUGUUCCAAAUAUAUUAGAGUUGCAAUCAAAUAUACACCUAAUAAUUAUAUACAAAAAUGUAAAUUCAUGGUUAAAAUAUGUCUAUUCUCCAAAACUAAUUAAAAAACUAAAUUAAAACAAAUUAAUGCAAGUUGGAAUCACUGAUGCUAAAUUAAGGAGAUCAUAAGGAUGAAAACAUCUUGAUUUAGAGAUCAUUUAGGAAAGCAAAUAAUUUUGAUAUUUACACUAAAUGGGUGACGUUUUCUUAUUCCCAUUAAUAAAUGAAAGUUUUACAAUAUAGGUAACUCAAAUUAUAUUUGGAGAAAAGAAAAAAGAAAAGUUUGAGAAUCGAGUCAACUAGUCGAAUCAGGUUACUAGUUUAUUUAGUUUUUGAUGGUUUUAACUGGUUUUUAACCAAAACCGAUUAUACUACAAAUCAGUUUGAAAAAAUCGGAUCGAUUGAACCAGCCAAUUCGAUCUGGUCUAACAACACUGCAACAGAGAAGCCUUCACAACCACAAGUGGUUCCCAGGAAAUUCGUCAGAAUCUCUCCUGUGGUUUAAUGUAAUGCACCUUUGAACAUGCAUAAACUUUUGUCUGCUACAACUCUAACUGCAGGGGACAGGGCCUAUCAUGUGUUUAAGGCUUGUCUCCUAAAGUGGGCCUUGCACUCUUACCAAGAAGUUAUGAAUUCCGAAUAAAAAUAAUUAUUUGUCUAUUGUGAACUAGAAGUAGGAUGUUAACCCAUAAAUGGUGACCCUUGGGACUAUGAAUGAUCCGACUAACUAUUCAUAUUUCUAGACUGGAACGCUUACUGAGACAGUUGAUCAUCCAGUUUCCACAGAGUUAUUGAACCCCCACCCCACCACACCCCAUCGAGCCAUGUAGCUUAUUAAUUUAGAUUUUGUACAGAUCUGCAGAUACCUUUAUGUUGGGAUCUUUAGGAAGAAGGAAUUGGCUACCAAGGAACAAAUGAGGCAAUUGAGGUAACAUUAUUGUUUCCAUUUUCCUGUUGCUUGAUUUUCUUUCAAUUUUCAUGCAGCUACAUAGAUGUACUAAGAAGGAAUGUUUAUCACUGAAGUCGAGACUGCCCUGUCCUAAAAUUGCAGUAUAGACGGUCUAGUAGUUGAGUGUGUUAAUCUUGGUUUGGGUAAUCUGGGUCCAUGUAAUAUUUUAGGCAGAUUCUGCAAUUCCUAUUUGUUAUUACAUCCUCAGGUUGACAUUAUUGUUGCAUGAUGAAACAAGUAUUUCUAAAAUUUCGAUCGUAAAAUUUCAGUUAUUAUUCUAAACGUAGACUCGUACAUAUCAUCAUUGAUACAAACAAAAUAAGGGGAUGUUUCCUUACUGGAACCAUAAAGUUUUUCAAAUUUUAUAAAACUAAAAUCGAAAAGUUUAGUGUGUUAAUUAAAACAAAACAAAAAAAAUUUUGAUUUCUUCCAUGUCUAAAAGCGUUGACCAUAUUGUUUUUAAUCUUAUCUUUUCAGCUCCACUAGUGUUUGGUUUGCAGAUCAGGUGAUGGGGCUUUGAACAUGUUAUACAAGGCUUUGUGUCGAAUUACACAGCGAAUUGGCUGACCCUUUUCUUUUUGGUUUGGAAAGAAAGAAAUAGAGUACCACCGGUAUUUAACUCUGCAUAACGUAAAUGUGUAGGUUGUGAAGAGGUGAGUAGUGAUGGGACUAAUUUUGGGAUCUGCUUAUAGGUCAUUUUUGCAUGCGAAAUGUUUGUGAUAUAUCAACAAAUACUGGUAACUGGACUUCAUUUGAGUGAAUUUUUAGACAUCGCAUUGGCCCCCUUUAUCAAAAUUAGCAUAUACUACCACCUUCUUGAACAAGAUUAUCCUCCCAAUUUCCCUAAGGUGUCCCCAAGCACAUCAAUUGAGAAUAUCAAAGGAAGAUUCUGUAAUUACGAAAAACUUCAAAUUCUAACGAAAUGAGAAUUUUUGGAUCCUGUACCUGAAAGCAAACGUAGGGAUUAAAUCUA